rnacentral:ribozyme from 1 species
AAAUAAAGAAAGAACAGAAACAAACAAAACACACUUCACGUUUAUCUCCCUUUUUAUCUUAUUUUUUUUCUCUUAC